GACGAACGCUGGCGGCGUGCUUAACACAUGCAAGUCGAACGAAGUGGCGAACGGGUGAGUAACGCGUAAUCAACCUGCCCUUCAGAGGGGGACAACAGUUGGAAACGACUGCUAAUACCGCAUACUGAAGGAGGGGCUUGCGUCGGAUUAGCUAGUUGGCGGGGUAACGGCCCACCAAGGGGAUGAUCAGUAGCCGGUCUUGGAGGAUGAACGGCCAAAUGUGUAACGAGACACGGCCCAGGCUCCUAAGGGAGGCAGCAGGGGGGAAUCUUCCGAAAUGGACGGAAGUCUGACGGAGAAACGCCGCGGUAGUGAUGACGGCCCUCGGGUUGUAAAGCUAUGUUAAUCGGGACGCGGUACCGGAAUAGAAAGCAACGGCUAACUACGUGCCAGCCGCCGCGGUAAUUC
rnacentral:rRNA from 1 species